AUUGAACGCUGGCGGCAUGCCUUACACAUGCAAGUCGAACGGUAACAGGUCUUCGGAUGCUGACGAGUGGCGAACGGGUGAGUAAUACAUCGGAACGUGCCCAGACGUGGGGGAUAACGAGGCGAAAGCUUUGCUAAUACCGCAUACGAUCUAAGGAUGAAAGCAGGGGACCGCAAGGCCUUGUGCGUUUGGAGCGGCCGAUGGCAGAUUAGGUAGUUGGUGGGAUAAAAGCUUACCAAGCCGACGAUCUAUAGCUGGUCUGAGAGGACGACCAGCCACACUGGGACUGAGACACGGCCCAGACUCCUACGGGAGGCAGCAGUGGGGAAUUUUGGACAAUGGGCGAAAGCCUGAUCCAGCAAUGCCGCGUGCAGGAUGAAGGCCUUCGGGUUGUAAACUGCUUUUGUACGGAACGAAAAGGCUCUGGCUAAUACCUGGGGCACAUGACGGUACCGUAAGAAUAAGCACCGGCUAACUACGUG
rnacentral:rRNA from 1 species